rnacentral:rRNA from 1 species
UACGGAGGGAGCUAGCGUUAUUCGGAAUUACUGGGCGUAAAGCGCACGUAGGCGGCUUUGUAAGUUAGAGGCGAAAGCCUGGAGCUCAACUCCAGAACUGCCUUUAAGACUGCAUCGCUUGAGUCCAGGAGAGGUGAGUGGAAUUCCGAGUGUAGAGGUGAAAUUCGUAGAUAUUCGGAAGAACACCAGUGGCGAAGGCGGCUCACUGGACUGGUAUUGACGCUGAGGUGCGAAAGCGUGGGGAGCAAACAGG